rfam:Drechmeria coniospora strain ARSEF 6962 chromosome 01, whole genome shotgun sequence.
GCCUCCUUGGCUUAGUGGUAAAGCGUAUCACUAGUAAUGAUAAGAUCAACGGUUCGAUUCCGUUAGUAUGUC